rnacentral:sRNA from 1 species
GCUGGGUGUUGUGGCACACACCUGUAAUCCCAGCUACUCAGGAGGCUGAGGCAGGAGGAUCCCAUGAGCCUGGGAAUUUGAGGUCAACCUGGGCAUCACUGCAAGAUCCUGCCUCAA